AAAAAUAGGCCGUGGGCCCAGCCGCGCCCAAAAAUAACCACCCGAAGGCCGGGGCGCCAAGUUCGUCCAGCGGAAAAAUGCCAUAAAAACGGGUGGGCUAUAGCCUUAGGGGGUGGGGCUGGCCAACAUCGUCCGCCGGACUUGGAAUGGCGCGAGACUUUGCGAUGCGCCUCCAUGUGCCAAAAAUAGGCCGUGGGCUCAGCCUCAGCCAAAAAUAACAGCCGGAAGGCCGGGGCGCCAAGUUCGUCUCGCGGAAAAAGGCCACAAAAACGGGUGGGCUAUAGCCUUGGGGGGUGGGGCUGGCCAACUUCGCCCGCCGGACUCGGAAUGGCGCAAUACUUUGCGAAGCGCCUCCGUGUGCCAUAAAGUGGCCGUGGGCACAGCCGCUCCCAAAAAUAACCGCCUGAAGGCCGGGGCGCCACGUUCGUCCACCGGAAAAAGCCAACAAAAACGGGUGGGCUAUAGCCUUGGGGGGUGGGGCUGGCCAACUUCGUCCGCCGGACUCGGAAUGGCGCGAGACUUUGCGAGGCACCUCAGUGUACCAAAAAUAGGCCGCGGGCCCAGCCGCGCCCAAAAAUAACCGCCCGAAGGCCGGGGCGCCAAGUUCGUCCAGCGGAAAAAUGCCACAAAAACGGGUGGGCUAUAGCCUUGGGGGGUGGGGCUGGCCAACUUUGUCCGCCGGAGUCGGAAUGGUGCGAGAAUUUGUGAGGCACCUCCGUGUGCCAAAAAUAGGCCGCGGGCACAGCCGCGCCAAAAAAUAACAGCCCGAAGGCCGGGGCGCCAAGUUCGUCCAGCGGAAAAAGCCCACAAAAACGGGUGGGCUAUAGCCUUGGGGGGUGGGGCUGGCCAACAUCGUCCGUCGGACUCGGAAUGGCGCGAGACUUUGCGAUGCGCCUCCGUGUGUGAAAAAUAGGCCGCGGGUGCAGCCGCAGCCAAAAAUAACAGCCCGAAGGCCGGGGCGCCAAGUUCGUCCAGCGGAAAAAUGCCACAAAAAUGGGUGGGCUAUAGCCUUGGGGGGUGGGACUGGCCAACUUCGUCCGCCGGACUUGGAAUGGCGCGAGACUUUGCGAGGUGCCUCCGUGUGCCAAAAAGUGGCCGCGGGCACAGCUGCACCCAAAAAUAACAGCCCAAAGGCCGGGGCUCCAAGUUCGUCCCGCGGAAAAAGGCCACAAAAACGGGUGGGCUAUAGCCUUGGGGGGUGGGGCUGGCCAACUUCGCCCGCCGAACUCGGAAUGGCGCAAUACUUUCCGAAGCGCCUCCGUGUGCCAUAAAGUGGCCGUGGGCACAGCCGCUCCCAAAAAUAACCGCCUGAAGGCCGGGGCGCCACGUUCGUCCACCGGAAAAAGCCAACAAAAACGGGUGGGCUAUAGCCUUGGGGGGUGGGGCUGGCCAACUUCGUCCGCCGGACUCGGAAUGGCGCGAGACUUUGCGAGGCACCUCAGUGUACCAAAAAUAGGCCGCGGGCCCAGCCGCGCCCAAAAAUAACCACCCGAAGGCCGGGGCGCCAAGUUCGUCCAGCGGAAAAAUGCCAUAAAAACGGGUGGGCUAUAGCCUUAGGGGGUGGGGCUGGCCAACAUCGUCCGCCGGACUUGGAAUGGCGCGAGACUUUGCGAUGCGCCUCCAUGUGCCAAAAAUAGGCCGUGGGCUCAGCCUCAGCCAAAAAUAACAGCCGGAAGGCCGGGGCGCCAAGUUCGUCUCGCGGAAAAAGGCCACAAAAACGGGUGGGCUAUAGCCUUGGGGGGUGGGGCUGGCCAACUUCGCCCGCCGGACUCAGAAUGGCGCAAUACUUUGCGAAGCGCCUCCGUGUGCCAAAAAGUGGCCGUGGGCACAGCCGCUCCCAAAAAUAACCGCCUGAAGGCCGGGGCGCCACGUUCGUCCACCGGAAAAAGCCAACAAAAACGGGUGGGCUAUAGCCUUGGGGGGUGGGGCUGGCCAACUUCGUCCGCCGGACUCGGAAUGGCGCGAGACUUUGCGAGGCACCUCAGUGUACCAAAAAUAGGCCGCGGACACAGCCGCGCCCAAAAAUAACCGCCCGAAGGCCGGGGCACCAAGUUCGUCCAGCGGAAAAAUGCCACAAAAACGGGUGGGCUAUAGCCUUAGGGGGUGGGGCUGGCCAACAUCGUCCGCCUGACUUGGAAUGGCGCGAGACUUUGCGAUGCACCUCCAUGUGCCAAAAAUAGGCCGUGGGCUCAGCCUCAGCCAAAAAUAACAGCCC
rnacentral:lncRNA from 1 species